AAUAACGAGAUGCGCAUCACAUCGAGAGAUAAAUGAUCAGAAAUAAACGAGAUUCGCCGGAAGCUGGACACGAUGAUAUAUCUUUGAGUAUACGGCAACAUGUUUAAUUAUUUUCUUUUUUUAGAAUGUUAAUAAGCGCAGAAUUACAAGCUUGUGAUAUCACACAGACCAGAAGACAUAUACAGUGCGCUAGGAAACCGGGAUCGAUUGCGACAAGAGCUCGUUGUAACAUUAGCGAUAAUUCGAGCUCCUUGGUAUACGGCGAGGAAGAAGAUUGGAUUACGUUCUCUGUAACAGACCGAGGUUAAUUGGAAUCGUGUGAAAAUUGAAACGGAUCAGACCGCUGUUUAUUAUAAUACGUUGUCGUUUGACCGUGUACGACUGAAAUUGUUACAGGCGACACAAUAAGGAGCUAAACCGGUUUUAGUUUGUGUCAGCUAUGUCUUUAUCCUCUAUUAGAUAGAAAGCUCGCUUGUGCAAUAUCUCGUGAAACGGACCGGCUACUAUGUCGAAAUGCAAUACAUAGCUAGACAAACAAUAGCGACGAAUAUUAUUCAAAUAGUGUACGUUCUACUAUGAAGUCGAUUACUCGUUUUGAUACCUCUGCACGGAACUGUACGUACUGUGUUUAUGCAUCGUUGGAGAAAGUUUAAAGGCAUUGUAUCGACAAAGAGAAAAGAUAAAUUCAUCGCGUCAACAAUUCCACAACUCUUGAAAUUGCGCGUUUCUGAAAUUAAUUGCCUUUGUGAAAUUGCUGCUCAAAGGCGGAUGGCUAUCUCGCUUUCAACGCCCGAGGAAAAUUGGCAUUCUAGCGUCACACUUUACGUACAUAUUGCGCUCGCAUAUACUCAGUCUUAACAACCCUUCUUGCAACACAACGCGAUAUUAGGAUCGAUUAACGAACAAGACUCAAAGUGUCUCGGGUAUCUUGUACGUACGGCGCAUGUGCUUUUAGUGA